GAUAGAGGUCAGGGUUAAAGCUCGGGGCUCCACUUUGGGAGAGAUGAUGCGGUGUUUCGUGCUGCUGCAUUUGUGGGUAAGGCUCCCAGAACCUGGAGUGGAGAGGAGUAGGAGGGAGAGGAGAUAAGACACAUCAUUCCGCACCUUCUCUACCUUGAGGCCCUUAAAAGUAUUUCCUGGGACGUCCCUAUAAACCAGAGGUGUAAUACUGAUUGUAGCCACUGGGAGGCAUCAGAAAUGUCUGUUCUCUACCCCUACCCUUUAUUCCCCCUCCCCCUCUCCAUUUCCCCUCAAAACAAGCAGGACCAGAGGAACGCUCCAGAGAACUGAGGGCUUGGGAGAGUAGCUAAAAGCAAAAGUUAAAGGCAUAGGAAAAGGACAAAAGAACAGAACCAAGGGGGUGCCAACUAGGAGGAAGGCUAAGGCUGGGUGUCACUGGUGGUGCUGAGGGGACAGGAAUUGCUGAAGGUAGAAGACAGGAAGGGCAGAGGCUGCCAUGACAGCUGAGUGCAAGGCUGAUUCCGAGCCAGUGUGCACCCAGAUGGGAACGUCUGUUCAUCUGGCCCAUCUUUCUGGGACAUGCAAAAGACUUGCAAAUCAGCAUGCAAAUCCCAUCAAGAUGGAUAUCCCCCUGGCUUGCGUAAGAGCAGUGUGGCUAGGUGGGAAGACAGCCAAAAGGUCAGGGAGUAACUUACCAAGCCCCCCACUGCAGAGACAGGCGUGGGUUCGGGGAGCAGGCUUGGUUGGGUGGGUGUCCAAAAUCUGCUGCACCAGGUGUUCUACAGAGAACUCUUCUGUUCCAUUCCCGCAGCUCCACUUGAUGCCAUGAACUAGAGAAGUUAGGGGGAAGUGCUGUGGGAUCCCCACGAAACAGGCCCCAGAGUACCUUGAUGGCUCCUCCAAGCACCUGACAUGCUUCAAGACUUCUGGCCAGGUGAACAGAGGCCAGCAGCCUCAAGACUGCUCAGAUAUGUUGCUUUAGUCCUUUCUCCGUAUUCUAAUACCUGAGAACACACCGGGAAUCCUAGCACCCUCCCAGCUUGGAGGGAGAUGAUCAGCCCUCAGGCUUUGGGUCCAGAACCAUGGCCCCUCUGGGAGCCCUGUUUCUACUCUCCCCUUGGAGCUCUAUCCCCACCCUGCUGCCUUACACAUGGGCUUCAGCUGUCCCAACAACUCCUCCCGGGACCACUUCAGCCACUCUCGACGGUCGCUGCUGAUGGAACAAAAGAUGGGGCUGCAGCCCUUUCCACAGUCCUCCAGGGCUGGGACGUUCAGACGCUGCCAACUCCAUCCCCCAGGGAUUGUGAAGGGGGUUCCUUCUGGCUGUGACAGUGCUGAACGAGGCCAGAGAGUGCAGCUGC
rnacentral:lncRNA from 1 species